rnacentral:rRNA from 1 species
CUACGUAGGUGGCGAGCGUUGUCCGGAUUUACUGGGUGUAAAGGGCGCGUAGGCGGGAGCGCAAGUCAGGUGUGAAAUCUAUGGGCUUAACCCAUAAACUGCAUUUGAAACUGCGUUUCUUGAGUGUCGGAGAGGUAGAUGGAAUUCCUAGUGUAGCGGUGAAAUGCGUAGAUAUUAGGAGGAACACCAGUGGCGAAGGCGAUCUACUGGACGAUAACGGACGCUGAGGCGCGAAAGCGUGGGGAGCAAACAGGAUUAGAUCCCCUGGUAGUCCACGCCGUAAACGAUGAAUACUAGGUGUGGGUGGGACUGACCCCAUCCGUGCCGCAGCUAACGCAAUAAGUAUUCCACCUGGGGAGUACGGCCGCAAGGCUGAAACUCAAAGGAAUUGACGGGG